UGCCAGCAGCCGCGGUAAUACUGAAGGUGCAAGCGUUAAUCGGAAUCACUGGGCGUAAAGCGCUCGUAGGUGGGUUAAUAAGUUUGAAGUGAAGUCCAAUGGCUCAACCAUUGAACUGCUUUGAAAACUGUUAACCUAGAAUAUGGGAGAGGUAGAUGGAAUUUCUGGUGUGGGGGUAAAAUCCGUAGAGAUCAGAAGGAAUACCGAUUGCGAAGGCGAUCUACUGGAACAUUAUUGACGCUGAGACGCGAAAGCGUGGGGAGCAAACAGGAUUAGAUA
rnacentral:rRNA from 1 species